UACAAAAGGGGCAAGCGUUGUUCGGAAUUACUGAGCGUAAAGGGCGCGUAGGCAGCCCGCUAAGUCGAACGUGAAAUCCCUGGGCUCAACCCAGGAACUGCGUCCGAUACUGGCGGGCUUGAAUCCGGGAGAGGGAUGUGGAAUUCCAGGUGUAGCGGUGAAAUGCGUAGAUAUCUGGAGGAACACCGGUGGCGAAGGCGGCAUCCUGGACCGGUAUUGACGCUGAUGCGCGAAAGCCAGGGGAGCAAACAGG
rnacentral:rRNA from 1 species